GGCAUUUAUGGCCCUCCGAAAGAUCACUGUUAUACUGCAGAAAUACCAAGUUACUAAAAAGCUACUGAAAGGCCACUCAACCUCAGCUCUUCCUUGCCUCUUGCUUUCAGUCAGCACGGAAUGCUUCACUUUUUGGGAGCUGGGUUUUCUCUGCGUGACAGAAAUGCUUUUUCCACAUUGUGGAUUUAUCUGUUGUCUUCACUGCUUUGCAACCGGUUUUGCUCUCAGCUCUCAAAGGAGGUCAGCCUACUUCCUGGCAGGAUCACCGUACUCCAGAAGAAAUGGGAUGUUAAAGGGGAGAAAAAGCACCAAACAGGACAAUUUCAUCAGUCCUCAAUGAGCUCCCCACCAAAAAGGCCAGCAGCACCAGCUUUUCUGCUGUUUUGCCCCAAACUGUGCUUCCUCAUGGAUCUAUGGGAUUUCUGCUGCAAGCAAGACCCUAAUUAUACUACACUACACUGCCAUCAGCCCAGGGGUCAGUUUAAAAGGGUUUUGUUUUUGCGUUUUUUUUUCCUAAUGUAG
rnacentral:lncRNA from 1 species